GCAAGGGUGCUCCGCCAUGCGCGGAGUGAAAAGGGAAAGCGGUUAAAUGCCGCUGCAGCCCCCGCUACUGUAUGGCGGACGAGGGCGGCGAGCCACUGGCGCAAGCCGGGAAGGGCCGCCUGAGGAUGAUGCCGAGCCAGGAGACCUGCCCGUGCGGCU
rnacentral:ncRNA from 1 species